AGAUACUGCCUCACCUGCUGAGUUGCUCCAGCAUUUUUUGUACCCGCUGGCAGGCUUUCUUAGUUACUGUGUCUGUGUGCAGUGUCCAAGAGAGGUCCUCAGUGAUGUGCACACUGAGGAACUUGAAGCUGCUGACCCUUUCAA